GGCGGCAGCUUUUAAUCAUACUUCAAGUGAUAUUCGCUCUAACCUCUCUGCUUUAUCGACAACUUUCUCUGCCAUGCGUUCGUUGCUUCGUUUGUUUUUGGUUGGUCAUUCCCCCAAAGCCCAGGAAUUGCCUGCUAAAAUCAAUCGAGGUGUUUUAUGGGCUUGAACGCAUGCCGGAGAAAGUUAUUUCCCUCAAUAGCAAAGGAAUCCCCUGGCUCUGAUACAAAUUUGUCAUAGCUAAAACCUGUACUAAUCUAAAUGCAAAAUGUUUCUCUUGGCGGUAAUCAUAUAAUCAUUGUUUUUUAUAUAAUUACCAUCUAAAGAUUGAACAUUUAAACAACUCAGAAUAUGCUAUGACAAAAGCGUUGGCUUGUUGGACAUUUGGACAUUCUUUCUGCAAGAAAUGUCAGCAAAUUGUCUGCCAAAACAAGCCAAACAUUUGUUCGACCUUGGAUUCCUUUACUGUAUUAUUUAUAUACCCAUUAAUAUAUUUUAAGAUCAUCUUUUAAUAUCACUCAAGUUGCAUUGAAAUCUGUUUAGCU
rnacentral:ncRNA from 1 species